UACGGAGGGGGCAAGCGUUGUUCGGAAUUACUGGGCGUAAAGGGCGCGUAGGCGGCCAGUUGCGUCGGGUGUGAAAGCCCCGGGCUCAACCUGGGAGGUGCACUUGAUACGGGCUGGCUGGAAUCCGGGAGAGGAUGGUGGAAUUCCCAGUGUAGAGGUGAAAUUCGUAGAUAUUGGGAAGAACACCGAUGGCGAAGGCAGCCAUCUGGACCGGGAUUGACGCUGAGGCGCGAAAGCGUGGGGAGCAAACAGG
rnacentral:rRNA from 1 species